rnacentral:rRNA from 1 species
GACGAACGCUGGCGGCGUGCUUAACACAUGCAAGUCGAACGAUGAAGCCCAGCUUGCUGGGUGGAUUAGUGGCGAACGGGUGAGUAACACGUGGGUGAUCUGCCCUGCACUCUGGGAUAAGCCUGGGAAACUGGGUCUAAUACCGGAUAUGACCUCUUGCUGCAUGGCGAGGGUGGAAAGUUUUUCGGUGCAGGAUGAGCCCGCGGCCUAUCAGCUUGUUGGUGGGGUAAUGGCCUACCAAGGCGACGACGGGUAGUCGGCCUGAGAGGGCGACCGGCCACACUGGGACUGAGACACGGCCCAGACUCCUACGGGAGGCAGCAGUGGGGAAUAUUGCACAAUGGGCGAAAGCCUGAUGCAGCGACGCCGCGUGAGGGAUGACGGCCUC